rnacentral:rRNA from 1 species
AUUGAACGCUGGCGGCAGGCCUAACACAUGCAAGUCGAGCGGAUGAAGGGAGCUUGCUCCUGGAUUCAGCGGCGGACGGGUGAGUAAUGCCUAGGAAUCUGCCUGGUAUUGGGGGAUAACGUCCGGAAACUGGCGCUAAUACCGCAUACGUCCUGAGGGAGAAAGUGGGGGAUCUUCGGACCUCACGCUAUCAGAUGAUCCUAGGUCGGAUUAGCUAGUUGGUGGGGUAAAGGCCUACCAAGGCGACGAUCCGUAACUGGUCUGAGAGGAUGAUCAGUCACACUAGAACUGAGACACGGUCCAGACUCCUAAGGGAGGCAGCAGUGGGGAAUAUUGGACAAUGGGCGAAAGCCUGAACCAGCCAUGCCGCGUGUGUGAAGAAGGUCUUCGGAUUGUAAAGCACUUUAAGUUGGGAGGAAGGGCAGUAAGUUAAUACCUUGCUGUUUUGAAGUUACAAACAGAAUAAGCACAGGCUAACUUCGUG